GCUUACGGCCAUACCACCCUGAGCAUGCCUGACCUCGUCUGAUCUCGGAAGCUAAGCAGGGCUGGGCUUGGUUAGUACUUGGAUGGGAGACUUCCUGGGAAUACCUGGUGCUGUAAGCC
rnacentral:rRNA from 1 species